rnacentral:rRNA from 1 species
AUUAAGCCAUGCAUGUCUAAGUUCACACUGUUUGACGGUGAAACCGCGAAUGGCUCAUUAAAUCAGUCGAGGUUCCUUAGAUGACACGAUCCUACUUGGAUAACUGUGGCAAUUCUAGAGCUAAUACAUGCUUACCAAGCUCCGACCUUUAUUGGAAAGAGCGCUUUUAUUAGUUCAAAACCAAUCGCCGCGUGCUCCUCACGGGGUGCGCGGUGUCCCCAUUGGUGACUCUGGAUAAGUUUGUGCUGAUCGCAUGGCCUUCGUGCCGGCGACGCAUCUUUCAAAUGUCUGCCCUAUCAAAUGUCGAUGGUACGUGAUAUGCCUACCAUGUUUGUUACGGGUAACGGGGAAUCAGGGUUCGAUUCCGGACAGGGAGCAUGAGAA